AACAUUAAAAGUCAAUGUCCAAGUUUGUUAUCUCCUCUAUGGCUUUUGGUGACAUGGAAUGAAUCAAGGCAGUCUCCCUGGAGAAGGAUUUUAGAGGGCAGCAGUUCACUAGAUGUUCCAUGGUUUGGAUGUCUUCUCCACAUUCACAUAGCAGGCUGUCCUUCAUUUGACACUAAUCCACCACUUGUCUUUUGAUGACAGGCUGCUGACCAGAAAGGGUUCCUGGACUUAAGAUGGCAUCUUGGAGAGACAAACUAGUUCAGCACACUGUGUGUCUGCAAAGCAGUACAAACAAGGAUUUCCUCACAGGUGGAAACAAUGAAUCAGCUCUGCAAAGGUAAUUUUAAAUUAUGAUAUAAACAACUGGGUAUGCAUAUGU